rnacentral:rRNA from 1 species
ACCAGAGGGGGACACGGCCAGAACCCCCGGGAGAACGCACCGGAGCCCAGGGAAGCAUGGCGAAACCCCACCCCCAACCCCGCGUGAAAAAGCCGAGGGUUAAACCACUUCAAGGGGAAGAAAACCCAAUACCCGUUGCGCCUGGCGUUACCCAUCCAAGAACCACCGGCUAACUCCGUGCCAGCACCCCCGGUAAUACGGAGGGUGCAAGCGUUAAUCGGAAUUACUGGGCGUAAAGCGUGCGUAGCCGGUUAUUUAAGUCAGAUGUGAAAUCCCCGGGCUCAACCUGGGAACUGCAUUUGAUACUGGAUGACUAGAGUUGAGUAGAGGAGAGUGGAAUUUCAGGUGUAGCGGUGAAAUGCGUAGAGAUCUGAAGGAACAUCAGUGGCGAAGGCGGCUCUCUGGACUCAAACUGACGCUGAGGUACGAAAGCGUGGGUAGCAAACAGGAUUAGAUACCCUGGUAGUCCACGCCGUAAACGAUGUCAACUAACUGUUGGGUUCUUAAAGAACUUAGUACCGGAGCUAACGCGUUAAGUCGACCGCCUGGGGAGUACGGCCGCAAGGUUAAAACUCAAAUGAAUUGACGGGGGCCCGCACAAGCGGUGGAGCAUGUGGUUUAAUUCGAUGCAACGCGAAGAACCUUACCUACUCUUGACAUCCAGAGAACUUUCCAGAGAUGGAUUUGGUGCCUUCGGGAACUCUGAGACAGGUGCUGCAUGGCUGUCGUCAGCUCGUGUUGUGAAAUGUUGGGUUAAGUCCCGUAACGAGCGCAACCCUUAUCCUUAGUUGCCAACAGUUCGGCUGGGAACUCUAGGGAGACUGCCGGUGAUAAACCGGAGGAAGGUGGGGACGACGUCAAGUCAUCAUGGCCCUUAUGGGUAGGGCUACACACGUGCUACAAUGGCCGGUACAGAGGGCUGCGAACUCGCGAGAGCAAGCCAAUCCCAAAAGCCGUCCCAGUCCGGAUUGCAGUCUCAACUCGACUGCAUGAAGUCG